UACGUAGGGGGCAAGCGUUGUCCGGAUUUAUUGGGCGUAAAGAGCGUGUAGGCGGCCAGGUAGGUCAGCUGUGAAAACUCGAGGCUCAACCUCGAGACGCCGGUUGAAACCAUCUGGCUAGAGUCCGGAAGAGGAGAGUGGAAUUCCUGGUGUAGCGGUGAAAUGCGCAGAUAUCAGGAGGAACACCGGUGGCGAGGGCGGUUCUCUGGGCAUUACCUGACGCUGAGGAGCGAAAGUGUGGGGAGCGAACAGG
rnacentral:rRNA from 1 species